ACAUACAGUAAUUGAUCUAAGAAAUGAAAGUUGUGUAUCUGGUUUAAUAAAACAUGUUGAUGGGCUCAUGAAUGUAGAAAUGGGAGAUGUUGUGUUCUAUGAUCCCAGGGGACAACGGCAUUAUUUUAAGGACUUUUUCAUGAAUUUGUUGCAACACACCAAGGUUAGAGAACCUAGGAAAGAGACUUUCAAAACCAAACGGGCAAAGAGAUAUAACGCUGAAAUAUUGUCGAGUCUAAAUAUUAAUAGACCAGGACCUUCCACUGGAUAAGUGUAUUUCGAAUAGAAGUAAUAAAAUAUAAAAUUAUUUUGA